rnacentral:rRNA from 1 species
AUUGAACGCUGGCGGCGUGCUUAACACAUGCAAGUCGAGCGGUAACGCGGGGGCAACCCUGGCGACGAGCGGCGAACGGGUGCGUAAUGCAUGGGAAUCUGCCUGAUAGUGGGGAAUAACCCGGGGAAACUCGGGCUAAUGCCGCAUACGACCUACGGGUGAAAGCGGGGGACCGUAAGGCCUCGCGCUAUCGGAUGAGCCCAUGUCGGAUUAGCUAGUUGGUAGGGUAACGGCCUACCAAGGCUACGAUCCGUAGCUGGUCUGAGAGGACGGCCAGCCACACUGGGACUGAGACACGGCCCAGACUCCUACGGGAGGCAGCAGUGGGGAAUAUUGGACAAUGGGGGAAACCCUGAUCCAGCGACGCCGCGUGUGUGAAGAAGGCCUGCGGGUUGUAAAGCACUUUCGGUGGGAACGAAAGGUUGCGUGUUAAUAGCACGUAGCUGUGACGUUACCUUUAGAAGAAGCACCGGCUAACUCCGUGCCAGCAGCCGCGGUAAAGUCUAGCCA